rnacentral:misc_RNA from 1 species
AAGGAUCAUUACUGAAAUAAAAGGUUUGGUUUGGAGGCUGUCGCUGGCAUCCUCGGAUGCACUUGCACGCCCCCUUGCCAUUCCGGCAUUCACCUUUUCCACCUGUGCAUUCUCAUGUAGGCCAGAUAUAUAGCCAUCAGUGGCAUCCUCUGGAGAUGCUUCUUUGGACUUGCUGUUGCAGCUCCACAUUGCGACAGCUCCUCCUGUAGAGUUUGGCGUGUCUGGUCUAUGCAUUUUAUCAAACCCCCCUUCUUAUUGUACAUGUGUGUGGUAUUUGAAGCAUUUAUGAACAACUUUCAACAACGGAUCUCUUGGCUCUC